CACAGAGCCAUCCGUAUACGACGAAGACAUAGACCAGUUCUAAAAAGAGAUCAAGGGUUAUUCCUCCCCAGGGCGUAUGAUAAUCUCAUUUUAUAGUAAAUUAUAUACAACUGUGCUAAGUAUAAUUUCAGUACUAUAACAAUUUAUGAACUCGUUUAGGCUGUAUCUUACCGGAUGAUGACGGGUUUCUUUAUUUCCUUCCCAUACCAUCGUCACAUAACAGUAUCAACAUUAUACAUCAGAUAACUAGAUCAUUGUACAGUAGAUAUUAAACGCACAUAAAGAGCAUCACUGGAACGAGUUCACUAACAAGAGACGUGAUUUAAUAUCCUGCAUAAGAAAACAACUGGACAAUAUAAAAUUGAUCUACAAUAACAGUUUUCUCAUUUGAGUACAUUUUCGCUCGCUCUUCCUAUUUGAUUUAAUUAAUCAAUUAAAUACAGAAGUCAAAAUGAAGACAGUUAGUUUACUAAUAUUCUUAGUUUUUCAGUUAUAUUUCACCACAGCAGACGAGUGUGGCUUCUUCAGCAAUCUGAAAUGUAUACCCAAUGUGCCUAACCUUAAUAGAGAUACUGUUUGCCAGAGUCUUUCAAUCGCUAGAAAAUGUCUGGAAGAAAAUGGUUGUGAUAUUGAAUAUAUCGAUCGAAAAUUAAAUGAUAUCCUGGAAAACUUCGGCGUCAAGUGUGAUGGUGGAAUAGUGAAGUCAAGUUUGUUGCUGAUUACUUUAUCUUAUUUAAUGUCUUAUGUUCAUCUGUUGUAAUGGAACACGAAAAUCAUAUGGCUUUGAUGAAACACCUGAUCAGGAUCUGAGACCAAUACCCAGUACACACUAUAGUCUGCAUUGUCUGGACUGGAAAUGAUGAAUCUUUUUUGGUUGGAGAGAACAGUGAAUAAUAUAACGGUCUUUACGGUUAUAAAUCAAUGUAUAACACUGGAGCAUGGGCGUCACACAUGGGGAGGGGGUGGGGGUGGUUGGGUCCGUCCCCCUCAAUUGUUUUUCGGGGGGGGGGGGGGGUCUGAAUAUACUUGGACUCCCCAAAAAUUUACAUAUUUACAACAAUUAUUAGGAUUAGUUAAGAUUCUAUUGGUAUAAAACAAUGUACAAAUUAAAACACAAACACUUAUGGUUACUUUUUGAAAUCCAUUUAUAAUACACAAAAUGUACAAAAUAUUUUAAAUAUCUAUACACGUUUCUUGUAAAUGUCAAUGUGUAUGAUGUAUACAGUAUUGUAGUUAACAAGGUGAUUGUCAUGCAUCCUCAUUACUUAAAGUUAUGUGAUCAAGUUUUGUUUCAUUUGGAUCCCCCUGAUUUAAACAUGAUCAACAUUGUAUUAGUGAGAUGUUUUAGUUUAACCCCGUAAAAUAUGCUAAAACAGUGUUUACAGAAGACUGAAACUCACCUCCCCCCCCCCCCCCCCGCCCCCACUCUUUCUAUCGUGCUACAUCGGCGUCACAGAUUGUCAACAUUUUAUAUAAUUUCAUUUGCGCACCCCCCCCCCCCCAAUAUAUAUUUCACGGCUACGCCUCUGCACUGGAGUAGACACUUGACUAAAUCUCAGAAACUAUCAUGAUCAUUUAAAAUUUUGCUUCGUCUUUAUGGUUCUGAUUUUCUACGCCACAUAAUGUUAUGCUUAGGUCCCACUGGGCAUAUUUCUUACCUUGGAAAUUUAUGAGCCUCGGAUGGCAUCGGGAACAAGUUCCACGGUGUCCAAGGCAAACUCCGGGGGCAUCGCGAGUCACCUGGAGCCAUCGACAGUCCCAGCGAGAACUGCGAAAAAUUUCAAAGCUUGCAUUGUCGAGAAAACAGGCUCGCCAAUUUCCAUCGCAAGUACAUCACCAAGGCAAACAAUGCCCAGUGGGGCCUAGGCAUAAUGUAACAUAUAUUAAGAACGGCCGCCGUUCAGUCGGCUUCGUUAUUCUUUAGAUCAGGGGACGAGCUUCGUUUUCGUUGACUGUAGGACUAUAAGUAAUAACACGAAGCAAUGUUAAAUCGUGUCUGAUGUUUAAGAAGUUCAGUCUCUGAAUUAUGUCAAAAUAUAGUAUACAUAUUGAAUUGGAUUAAGCUGUUGUGUCACUUUUAAAUGUAUGAAAUCAACAGUUUUAUUUUUGACGGAAUAUAAAACGAAGGAGAACUAGUGUGUGUAUGUGUAUCAGUAUUUGUAUAGUGCAUUAACACUGUUUUGACAGUUUCUUUAUGCGCUUCGGGUUCACUAGAUUUGUUCUCGAUGUCAAUAUCACAAAGGACCUUCAAAAAGCAAAGUUUUCAGUUUGUUCUUAAAACAGAUGACUAGACGCGCGCUUGUAUGGGUGUGUGUGUGUAUACAUGUAUAUAUAUAUAUAUAUAUAUAUAUAUAUAUAUAUAUAUAUAUAUAUAAUAAUAAUAAUAUCAGUAUUUGUAUAGUAUGGCGGUAUAUUAGAUUCAAAAUUCUAAAAUGCUUUCGUCUAACUUCUAACUUCUGUUCAUGUAUUUUUUAACUUCUAUUCAUGUAAUUUCUAACUUCUAUUCAUGUAACUUUUAAAUUAAGACAAUGUAUAAUCCAACUUCUUUAUUUGUUCAGUGUAAAUUUUAAUUCUAUUUCAUCCUAUUUCUAUUAUUUAGACGAAAAACGUCUUCUUCAUUGAUGCUUUACACGUUUAGCAUCAACAUCAACGAAUUUAGAAUUUUUACAUUCUACCUAGCAACCAUCAUUAUAAAGUCGUUUGGUGUCGCCACUGCGUGCUCAUUUGGUGAUUGCGCACCUGGUCGGGACCAUUAUGUAUUGUUUAAUGGUCGAGAGCGAGACAUUAAGUAAUAUAUUGUAACAACAAGAGGACCGUCAGGUCCGAGUGUUUUUACAAUAUAUUACGCAAUGUCUCAGCUCGAGACCAUUAAACAUCUUAAAAUACAGACACUCCGCACGUGCGUUUACAGUGAAAUACGUCACUCGAGUCUAAUAUGUGACAAUUA